AUGUCCAAGAAGAUCGUGCUCAAGGUGGAUAUCACCGCCGAGCGGUGCAAGGCCGGCGCCAUGAGCGUCGUCGCCAAGCUCCCAGGUAUCAAAUCGAUGGCGGUGGACGGCGAGAAGGGGACGCUGACCGUGGUGGGGGACGUGGACGUGGUCUGCCUUGCGAGCGCGCUGCGGAAGGCCAAGUUCACGGCGCUCGUCGUCAGCGUCGGGCCUGAGGUGGUGGAGAAGAAGCCCGAGCCGCCGAAGAAGCCUGAAACGCCCAAGCCGGUGCCGCCCUGCUGCUGCUCCGGCCCCGGCCCUGGCAAUGCAUGUUGCUGUCCCCGGCCGAUGCCGCCGUACCCUGGCGCGGCCAUCGUGUGCUACGAGGAGCAGCCCGACGGCCAUUGCAUCAUCCUGUGA
rnacentral:rRNA from 1 species